rnacentral:rRNA from 1 species
AAUAGAUACCCUGGUAGUCCACGCCGUAAACGAUGAGUGCUAAGUGUUGGAGGGUUUCCGCCCUUCAGUGCUGCAGCUAACGCAUUAAGCACUCCGCCUGGGGAGUACGGUCGCAAGACUGAAACUCAAAGGAAUUGACGGGGGCCCGCACAAGCGGUGGAGCAUGUGGUUUAAUUCGAAGCAACGCGAAGAACCUUACCAGGUCUUGACAUCUCCUGACCGCCCUGGAGACAGGGUCUUCCCUUCGGGGACAGGAUGACAGGUGGUGCAUGGUUGUCGUCAGCUCGUGUCGUGAGAUGUUGGGUUAAGUCCCGCAACGAGCGCAACCCUUGGUUCUAGUUGCCAGCAUUCAGUUGGGCACUCUAGAGCGACUGCCGGCGACAAGUCGGAGGAAGGUGGGGAUGACGUCAAAUCAUCAUGCCCCUUAUGACCUGGGCUACACACGUGCUACAAUGGAUGGUACAAAGGGCAGCGAAGCGGCGACGCAUGAGCGAAUCCCAGAAAAACCAUUCUCAGUUCGGU